rnacentral:rRNA from 1 species
GAUGAACGCUGGCGGCGUGCUUAACACAUGCAAGUCGAACGGAAAGGCCCAAGCUUGCUUGGGUACUCGAGUGGCGAACGGGUGAGUAACACGUGGGUGACCUGCCCUGCACUUCGGGAUAAGCCUGGGAAACUGGGUCUAAUACCGGAUAGGACCACAUUUUGGAUGGUGUGGUGGAAAGAUUUUCGGUGUGGGAUGAGCUCGCGGCCUAUUAGCUUGUUGGUGGGGUGAUGGGCUACCAAGGCGUCGUCGGGUAGCCGGCCUUAGGGGGUGGACGGCCACAAUGGGGCUUGGAUAACGGCCAGACUCCUACCGGGGGCAGCAGGUGGGGAUAUUGCACAAUGGGGGCGAGCCUGAAGCAAGGACGCCGGGGGGGGGAUGACGGGCCUUGGGUUGGUAACUCGUUUCGGCAUGGGAGGAGCGUUAUGUGACGGUACUUGGAAAAGAAGCACCGGCUAACUACGUG